GCGGUCAUCGUCUAGUUUGGUCAGGACACUGGCCUUCCAAGAUAGAGCGGGAGUUCAAAUCCCGGUGACCGCACCA
rnacentral:tRNA from 1 species